AUGGACUUUGUUUUAGGUUUACCUCGAACAAAGAAGGGGAGGGAUAGCAUAUUUGUUGUCGUGGAUAGAUUCUCGAAAAUGGCACACUUUAUACCAUGUCAUAAAAGCGAUGAUGCUGUUAAUGUUGCUGAUUUGUUCUUUCGUGAAAUUAUUCGCUUGCAUGGUGUGCCAAAUACUAUUGUUUCAGAUCGUGAUACUAAAUUUCAUAGCCACUUUUGGAGAUGUUUAUGGGCUAAGUUGGGGACUAAAUUGCUUUCUAGUACUACUUGUCACCCCCAAACUGAUGGACAAACUGAAGUAGUCAAUAGAACAUUGUCUACUAUGCUUAGGGCUGUUUUGAAGAAUAAUAAGAAAAUGUGGGAAGAAUGCUUGCCUCAUAUUGAAUUUGCUUAUAAUCGUUCAUUACAUUCUACUACUAAGAUGUGCCCUUUUGAAAUUGUGUAUGGUUUCCUACCUCGUGCACCAAUUGAUUUGUUGCCUCUUCCAUCUUCGGAGAAGGUUAAUUUUGAUGCUAAAGAACGUGCUGAAUUGAUUUUAAAAAUGCAUGAGUUAACUAAGGAAAACAUUGAGCUUAUGAAUGCUAAAUAUAAACUUGCUGGAAAUAAGAGUAGAAAACAUGUUGUGUUUGCACCUGGAGAUCUUGUUUGGUUACAUUUGCGUAAGGAUAGAUUUCCUAAUUUGCGCAAAUCAAAGCUAAUGCCACGUGCUGAUGGUCCUUUUAAGGUGUUAGAGAAAAUAAAUGAUAAUGCAUAUAAACAUGAGCUACCUGCAGAUUUUGGGGUUAGUCCCACAUUUAACAUUGCAGAUUUGAAGCCUUAUUUGGGUGAGGAAGAUGAGCUUCCGUCGAGGACGACUUCAUUUCAAGAAGGGGAGGAUGAUGAGGACAUCAAUACCAUUGUUACACCCACAGCCCCUACUGUUACAUAUAAUGGACCAAUUACUAGAGCUCGCGCACGCCAAUUAAAUUACCAGGUACUUUCGUUUCUUGGUAAUGAUUCUAAUGUUCAUGAGAAUAUGAUGCUGCCUAAAUUGGAUACUUUUGUUUUGCUUACAAAUGAAGGGCCUAGCUUGGAGAAGGAUGAACAUUGGAGCAAGAAAAAGCAUGGAGUUGAUGGCAUGUGCAAGGGGAACAAGAACGGAGUUACAAGUGAUGAUUUCAGGACUUUGAAGCCACCAUAA
rnacentral:rRNA from 1 species